GAUGAACGCUGGCGGCGUGCCUAAUACAUGCAAGUCGAGCGAACAGACGAGGAGCUUGCUCCUCUGACGUUAGCGGCGGACGGGUGAGUAACAUGUGGAUAACCUACCUAUAAGACUGGGAUAACUUCGGGAAACCGGAGCUAAUACCGGAUAAUAUAUUGAACCGCAUGGUUCAAUAGUGAAAGACGGUUUUGCUGUCACUUAUAGAUGGAUCCGCGCCGCAUUAGCUAGUUGGUAAGGUAACGGCUUACCAAGGCGACGAUGGGUAGCCGACCUGAGAGGGUGAUCGGCCACACUGGAACUGAGACACGGUCCAGACUCCUACGGGAGGCAGCAGUAGGGAAUCUUCCGCAAUGGGCGAAAGCCUGACGGAGCAACGCCGCGUGAGUGAUGAAGGUCUUCGGAUCGUAAAACUCUGUUAUUAGGGAAGAACAAAUGUGUAAGUAACUAUGCACGUCUUGACGGUACCUAAUCAGAAAGCCACGGCUAACUACGUG
rnacentral:rRNA from 1 species